rnacentral:tRNA from 3 species
GCCAUCCUAGCUCAAUGGUAGAGCAACGGUUUUGUAAACCGUAGGUUCGGGGUCCGAUCCCCCGGGAUGGCUCCA